GUUGAGGAUUUAGCUUAAAUUAAAGUGUUUGAUUUGCAUUCAAGUGAUGUGAGAGUAGACUCAUAAUCCUUA
rnacentral:tRNA from 1 species